rnacentral:rRNA from 1 species
AUUGAACGCUGGCGGAAUGCUUUACACAUGCAAGUCGAACGGUAGAGGGGGCAACCCCUUGAGAGUGGCGAACGGGUGAGUAAUAUAUCGGAACGUGCCCAGUCGUGGGGGAUAACGUAGCGAAAGUUACGCUAAUACCGCAUACGAUCUAAGGAUGAAAGCGGGGGAUCGCAAGACCUCGCGCGACUGGAGCGGCCGAUAUCAGAUUAGGUAGUUGGUAGGGUAAAGGCCUACCAAGCCAACGAUCUGUAGCUGGUCUGAGAGGACGACCAGCCACACUGGAACUGAGACACGGUCCAGACUCCUACGGGAGGCAGCAGUGGGGAAUUUUGGACAAUGGGCGAAAGCCUGAUCCAGCCAUUCCGCGUGCAGGAUGAAGGCCCUCGGGUUGUAAACUGCUUUUGUACAGAACGAAAAGGUUUCUAUUAAUACUAGGAGCUCAUGACGGUACUGUAAGAAUAAGCACCGGCGAACUACGU